UGGAAAUACUGAUAUUCCAAUUGCAUUCAUAUUUGAUUUCGAGCUUGGUGAUUCCCAUAAGAACAGGCGGACGGAUAGUAUUAUACAAAAUUUCAAUAUUUAAUAGAAAUUGCCAAUAAAGAAUAACUCUACAACGGUAACAAUGGGAUUAUUACUUCGUCUAUGGGCAUGUUUUUUUGUAUGCUUUGUUAUACAUACCGCCACUGCAGUAGACACAACAAAAAGAGCAACAACAUCUUCCAAACAAGAUCCGAUUGUCCCCUCGAAGAUUAUAUCAGUGCAUAUAAACUACUGCAAUCAAAGCUACGGUCGAAUUUAUGAAAAAUAUGCUGCUGAGUUGCAACAAAAGUAUCCCCAUGUUAUGGUAUCAGGAAAUAACCAAUACCCCAGUGAUAAAGAUCAGAUAAAUCUUUUGUUCACAUUCAUUACUUACAUUGUGCUGGUUUAUGUGCUCUUUCGAUGGAUUGUUCGCAGUUGGUUCAAAAGGGUGGUGCUAUUUAUGGGAACAUUGUAUGUUAGCCCUUAUGUAUUACUGGAUUUAUGUAGAAAAUGCCUUAGAUCAGGUGCAUUCGAAGUUUUUGUGGACGGCGUAGAAAAAUGGUCUACCUUACAAAAAGGUAGGAUACCUACGAUUGACGAAAUUUUUCAAAUUAUUAAUCCAGAAGCAGAACGUGUUGGUGAACCUGAUAAUAGUGCACUUAUAUUUUUAUUAAUCAUUUGUGGGAUUGCAUUUAUGAUAUUAAACAGAUAAGACAAAAAACCACGUCGUGUUGUAAGAAAUUACUCAAAGUGGUAAACAUGGUCCAUCAAAAAAUUUCAAAGUAACACCUUUAACAAUCUUAUAUUCUUAUAAUUACGACAUAUGAGAUAUCAAUAAAAUUUAACACUGUUCAUAACAGUUUAAUACAUCUAUAAA
rnacentral:sRNA from 1 species